GCCUCGGUGGCUCAGCCUGGUAGAUGUUUCUCGACACCAGCUCGCGUGCCCCGCAGGGUCGCGGGUUCAAACCCCGCCCGAGGCUCCA
rnacentral:tRNA from 1 species